UACGAAGGGGGCUAGCGUUGCUCGGAAUCACUGGGCGUAAAGGGUGCGUAGGCGGGUCUUUAAGUCAGGGGUGAAAUCCUGGAGCUCAACUCCAGAACUGCCUUUGAUACUGAAGAUCUUGAGUUCGGGAGAGGUGAGUGGAACUGCGAGUGUAGAGGUGAAAUUCGUAGAUAUUCGCAAGAACACCAGUGGCGAAGGCGGCUCACUGGCCCGGUACUGACGCUGAGAUACGAAAGCGUGGGGAGCAAACGGG
rnacentral:rRNA from 1 species